UCCCUUGUAGCUCAGUCAGUAAAGAAUCUGCCUGCAAUGCAGAAGACCUGGGUUUGAUUCCUGGGUCAGGGAG
rnacentral:tRNA from 1 species